rnacentral:rRNA from 1 species
CCUACGGGAGGCAGCAGUGAGGAAUAUUGGUCAAUGGACGAGAGUCUGAACCAGCCAAGUAGCGUGAAGGAUGACUGCCCUAUGGGUUGUAAACUUCUUUUAUAUGGGAAUAAAAUGUUCCACGUGUGGGAUUUUGUAUGUACCAUAUGAAUAAGGAUCGGCUAACUCCGUGCCAGCAGCCGCGGUAAUACGGAGGAUCCGAGCGUUAUCCGGAUUUAUUGGGUUUAAAGGGAGCGUAGGUGGAUUGUUAAGUCAGUUGUGAAAGUUUGCGGCUCAACCGUAAAAUUGCAGUUGAAACUGGCAGUCUUGAGUACAGUAGAGGUGGGCGGAAUUCGUGGUGUAGCGGUGAAAUGCUUAGAUAGCACGAAGAACACCGAGUGCGAAGGCAGUUCACUGGACUGCAACUGACACUGAGGCUCGAAAGUGUGGGUAUCAAACAGGAUUAGAUACCCCUGUAGUC